CGCAUCUGUGCAUGCAGCAUAUCAAUAAGCGGAGGAAAAGAAACUAACAAGGAUUCCCCUAGUAACGGCGAGUGAAGCGGGAAGAGCUCAAAUUUGAAAUCUUAAAGGGUUUCCCUUUACGAAUUGUAGUUUAAAGAAGUGUUUUCUGUUGAGGUUUUGGUAAAAGUUCUUUGGAAUAGGACAUCAUAGAGGGUGAGAAUCCCGUAUUUGACCUUUACUUUCAACUUUGUGAUACACUUUCAAAGAGUCGGAUUGUUUGGGAAUGCAGUCCAAAAUGGGUGGUAAAUUUCAUCUAAAGCUAAAUAUUGGCGAGAGACCGAUAGCGAACAAGUACCGUGAGGGAAAGAUGAAAAGAACUUUGAAAAGAGAGUUAAACAGUACGUGAAAUUGUCAAAAGGGAAGCGUUUGACACCAGUGUUGUUUUUCUGAAAAUCAAUUAAAGAACUGUUUAUGCUAAGUUGUUUAGACUUUAUCAGCUAACUGUUUAGUUUUGAGCUUUUCUUUAAUGCACUUUUCAGUUAACAAGUCAACAUCAAUUUCUUUUGCUGUAAAAAAGCUUGAGGAAGGUGGCUUGAGAUUACGUCUUAAGUGUUUAUAGCCUCUUGCCUAUGCAGUCGGAGAGAUUGAGGUCUGCAGCGUAGAUCCUUCGGGGCUAAAUGCAUUUGUGCUAAGUUAUAGCAUUUUAUAGACAACUUGUUGACUAUGAUUUGUCUUGUAGCUUACUCGCUUAUGUUAUUUUACCUACGCUUAGGAUGUUGAGCGCAUGUCUCUCUCU
rnacentral:rRNA from 1 species